rnacentral:lncRNA from 1 species
UUUAUAUAUAGAUCAAAGAUACAAACAUUAUGCCUAUGUUUGGUGCGAGUUGAAUUGGAUUCGAAUUCGUUAAGUAAGGUAUCAAGUUUGAAUUUUGUGGAUGAAAAAAUUUGGUUGAGAGACCGAAUUGAUUGCGUUUUGCGAGGAACCGAAUUUCAUCUGAAAUUUUCGUAGGUAAUACCAAGAAUUCUUGUAGUGUCAAUAAAUGUGGUUAGAUAAGUUCUUAAACACAGAUAAGCCAUUCAGAAAGCCGG